AAUGAAAUUGCUGGAUCAUAUGGUUAACUCUAUGUUUAACUUUUUGAGAAACUGCCAAACUGUCUUCCAAAGUGGCUGCAUCAUUUUACAUUCCCACCAGCAGU
rnacentral:pre_miRNA from 1 species